GAAAACCCAAAACUGCCAAAUCUGAAAUGACGGAAAUGCAUCCUGUGUGAGACCAGUUCCACAGCAUGAACACACACACACACAUAUACACCAGUACAUACACCGACAUACACACAGUACAAAUGAGCACACACGCCCUGCUGUGCACAGCUGUUUUCUGACAUAGAGAAUUUACAAAAUAUAGAAUUUGGCAUAUCUGUGAGAUCUCCAAGGCUUUCAAUAAUACAAAAUAAAAAAUACAAAAAAGACAAGUGGGGAUCCCCGCCCUCCCCCCGAGUGGCGUCCUCGUUUGCUUGUGUGUCUCUUACACGCAUACAACUAGCAUAGUCUAAAGAAGGGCACGGAGAACUUGUUUUGUUUUAUUUAAUAAAUAUUUUUCUCAGAAUCACCA
rnacentral:antisense_RNA from 1 species